rfam:Gorilla gorilla gorilla genomic chromosome, chr3, whole genome shotgun sequence
ACUGGGCAUGGUGGCUCACGCCUGUAAUCCCAGCACUUUGGGAGGCCAAGGCAGGAGGAUCACUUGAGGUCAGGAGUUCGAGACCAGCCUAGCCAACAUGGUGAACCCCGUCUCUACUAAAAGUACAAAAAUUAGCCGGGCACAGUGACAGGCACCUGUAAUCACAGCUGCUCUGGAGGCUGAGGCAGGAGAAUCACUUUAACCCAGGAGGACUGAACCUAGACAGAGCUGGGAUUACAGGCACGUGCCACCAAACCCAGCUAAUUUUUGUAUUUUGAGUAGAGACGGGGUUCACCAUGUUGGCUAGGCUGGUCUCGAACUCCUAACCUCAAGUGAUCCUCCUGCCUU